AUACUUACCUGGCAAGGGAGAUACUGUGAUCAAGAAGGCAGUUCACCCAGGGCGAGGCUCAGCCAUUGCACUCCGGCUGUGCUGACCCCUGCGAAUUUCCCAAAUGUGGAAAUCUCGAUUGCAUAAUUUAUGGUAGUUUAUUUUCUGCACAAC
ensembl:snRNA U1 U1 spliceosomal RNA